rnacentral:rRNA from 1 species
GACGAACGCUGGCGGCGUGCUUAACACAUGCAAGUGGAGCGACGAACCAGGCUUCGGCCUGGGGCAAAGCCGCGAACGGGUGAGUAACACGUGGGUAACCUGCCCCGAUGACCGGGACAACCCGAGGAAACUCGGGCUAAUACCGGAUGUGGUCCCUUCACAUCAGUGAAGGUGACUAAAGGUAGCUUCGGCCUCCGCAUCGGGAUGGGCCCGCGGCCCAUUAGCUAGUUGGUAGGGUAAUGGCCUACCAAGGCGACGAUCGGUAGCUGGUCUGAGAGGACGACCAGCCACACUGGGACUGAGACACGGCCCAGACUCCUACGGGAGGGCAGCAGUGGGGAAUAUUGGACAAUGGGCGCAAGCCUGAUCCAGCGAUGCCGCGUGUGUGAAGAAGG